CCCAGUUCUGAAAAUUCUUCAUUAGCACCAAAUCCAAACUUUUCCUCAGCAGUGGCAGGACCCAGGCGCGGGUCCUCCUUCCUCCUCCCGCCCCCUCGCGGUCAGACAACAGACCCCCCAUCUGCAAACUAGGGAUCAUCAUAAUGCCCUAACAGGGCUGAGUAGAGUUGACCCAGCUGCUUGUGUUCCAAAAGAGAGUUCAGCAGUGGAAUCCCAGGCAUCUUCAUACCGUCAGUGAAGCCAUCCGAACUUUGGCAUGCAGAAGUUCCACUUUCGUAACGAAGGGAAUUAUCUCAGGUCCCCAAUAAUCCUUCAAGGUCUACCUGGAGAAAAUGUUGAGCAUUAGAAAGAGCAAAAGCUUCGGAGUCGCCCAGCUGCAGAUCCAAAUCCCAGCUCCCAGCUCCACUGUUCCAUUCAUUCGCUCGCUGGGUAUUUG